CCUACGGGAGGCAGCAGUGAGGAAUAUUGGGCAAUGGACGAGAGUCUGAACCAGCCAAGUAGCGUGAAGGAUGACUGCCCUAUGGGUUGUAAACUUCUUUUAUAUGGGAAUAAAAUGUUCCACGUGUGGGAUUUUGUAUGUACCAUAUGAAUAAGGAUCGGCUAACUCCGUGCCAGCAGCCGCGGUAAUACGGAGGAUCCGAGCGUUAUCCGGAUUUCUUGGGUUAAAAGGGAGCGUAGGUGGAUUGUUAAGUCAGUUGUGAAAGUUUGCGGCUCAACCGUAAAAUUGCAGUUGAAACUGGCAGUCUUGAGUACAGGAGAGGUGGGCGGAAUUCGUGGUGUAGCGGUGAAAUGCUUAGAUAUCACGAAGAACUCCGAUGGCGAAGGCAGCUCACUGGACUGCAACUGACACUGAGGCUCGAAAGUGUGGGUAUCAAACAGGAUUAGAUACCCCUGUAGUC
rnacentral:rRNA from 1 species